CCUACGGGUGGCAGCAGUGAGGAAUAUUGGUCAAUGGGCGAGAGCCUGAACCAGCCAAGUCGCGUGAAGGAUGAAGGAUCUAUGGUUUGUAAACUUCUUUUAUAUGGGAAUAAAGUGAGGAACGUGUUCCUUUUUGUAUGUACCAUAUGAAUAAGCAUCGGCUAACUCCGUGCCAGCAGCCGCGGUAAUACGGAGGAUGCGAGCGUUAUCCGGAUUUAGUGGGUUUAAAGGGUGCGUAGGUGGUUAGUUAAGUCAGCGGUGAAAGUUUGUGGCUCAACCAUAAAAUUGCCGUUGAAACUGGUUGACUGGAGUGUAUUUGAGGUAGGCGGAAUGCGUGGUGUAGCGGUGAAAUGCAUAGAUAUCACGCAGAACACCGAUUGCGAAGGCAGCUUACUAAACUAUAACUGACACUGAGGCACGAAAGCGUGGGGAUCAAACAGGAGUAGAUACCCUAGUAGUC
rnacentral:rRNA from 1 species